CACGUAGGGCGCAAGCGUUGUCCGGAAUUACUGGGCGUAAAGCGCGCGUAGGCGGACCUGCAAGUCGGGGGUGAAAGCCCGAGGCUCAACCUCGGAACUGCCUUCGAUACUGCGGGUCUCGAGUCCGGGAGAGGUGAGUGGAAUUCCUAGUGUAGAGGUGAAAUUCGUAGAUAUUAGGAAGAACACCAGUGGCGAAGGCGGCUCACUGGCCCGGUACUGACGCUGAGGUGCGAAAGCGUGGGGAGCAAACAGG
rnacentral:rRNA from 1 species